UACGUAGGGUGCAAGCGUUGUCCGGAAUUAUUGGGCGUAAAGAGCUCGUAGGCGGCUUGUCACGUCGACUGUGAAAACCCGGGGCUUAACUUCGGGCUUGCAGUCGAUACGGGCUGGCUAGAGUACGGUAGGGGAGACUGGAAUUCCUGGUGUAGCGGUGAAAUGCGCAGAUAUCAGGAGGAACACCAGUGGCGUAAGCGAUCACCUGGGCUAGACCUGACGCUGAGGGACGAAGGCGUGGGGAGCAAACGGG
rnacentral:rRNA from 1 species